AAUUAAAAUGGUUUAUAAACAAAGACCCACAGGUACUAUCAUGUCCUUCCUCAUCAAUGAAUCCCAUUGCAGCCCACCCUUGUUUUCCCGUCUGACAAAUGACUGUUUAGACUCUGCAAACCAUUCAGACACUUACAUUUCCUGCCUGGGAAUAUUUAAACAUUUUAAAUAUUUCAAGAGCAUGUCUUUCAUUUCCCACAAAACCAUGAGGUCUUGGAAAGCCAGGUCCAUGUAUUAUCUUCCUUUCAUGUCUUUCACCACCUUUAGCCAAAUAUCUAAUUUAAUUAGAUGCUGAAGGCUAAGUAGGGACUAUCUGUUAUACUUAUUUAAUGUCCUUCAUAGCACUUAGCUGAGGGAUGGGUAUCUGGAAGGUGUUUAUUUAAUGCUAAAUAAACAGAUUUUAAGUUCCUAAGACUUUACCCUAAAAUUAUUUUUAUUUUUGGGUUUCUUAGCAUGACUUCUAUUUGACAAAUAUAGGUAUGGCAACCAGCAUGUUCCCUCCCCCGGUACCCAGAAAAGAUGUUCAUUUCUCUACAAAGACACUGCCAACACAUUAAAUACCAGUCUUUUAGUAUGUUUGGAGGGGAAAAGAGAGAGAAAUGGGCAAAGCACUUCCCUCUUUUCUCCUGAUCCAUAGCAACUUCUCUGAGGCGGAUCUGCCUCCUCUUUUCUCAACUUUUUCUCAUGGUACCAUUUCUCAGCAAGAUUUUCACCAUUCUGCUGGGAACCAAGAAAGAGAAGAGGGAAAAUAUUAAAUAAAAGUGGUAUUCUGGAGAUUUAAAAACAGGGACUUCAGCUCUAAAACUAUCAUGUCCAAAUGAGCUCUCAUAUAUCCCCUUUUCCUUUCCCACCUAUUUCAAACCAAGACAUCUUGUCCUGGUAUCUAGAAAAAAAACUUACUUGAAAAAUUAUUUGUUCUGGUGUAUCCUAGUUAAUGAUUAUUUAGAUUAGUCAAGCCUUACCACACACACACAAUACCUGUCUCAUCGUUUUUAAAGAACUAGAAUACAUAAUAUACUCAACACCACAGCUGUCCUGACAUAAUUUCAGCCCCUUUUGAUGAUUCAAAGUAUUUUAGGAUUUCCAUGACAUUUAAUUAUUUCAGUGCAUAUGUGCAAGAGUGCCAAAGAAGAGAGCCUUGUGGGGAGAGGAAUUCCAGAUCACAGAAGAAUUCCCAUAUUCAAACAGGAUGUCCAUUAUACAUUCCUUGCUCAUCAUGAAGAACAGAACAAUGACAAGGACC
rnacentral:lncRNA from 1 species